rnacentral:rRNA from 1 species
UACGUAGGGGGCAAGUGUUGUCCGGAUUUACUGGGCGUAAAGAGCGUGUAGGCGGCCACGCAGGUCCGUUGUGAAAACUGGAGGCUCAACCUCCAGCUGUCGACGGAAACCGUGUGGCUAGAGUCCGGAAGAGGAGAGUGGAAUUCCUGGUGUAGCGGUGAAAUGCGCAGAUAUCAGGAAGAACACCAAUGGCGAAGGCAGCUCUCUGGGACGGUACUGACGCUGAGACGCGAAAGCGUGGGGAGCGAAUGGG